UUUUUUUUUUUUUUUUUUUUUAAGACUGCAGAUAAUCUUGUUGAGCUCCUCGGAAAAUACAAGGAAGUCCGUGUUUGUGCAGAGCGCUUUAUGAGUAACUGUAUAGACAGUGUGGCUGCUUCACUCAUCCCAGAGGGCUGCAGCUGUCGGCCCAUGAAGUGGCUGCAGUGCCUCGUGAGAUCUGCUUUGUUUUGUUUGGAGUGAAGUCUUUGAAAGGUUUGAGUGCAACUAUAUAGGACUGUUUUUAAAUAAGUAGUAUUCCUCAUGAACUUUCUCAUUGUUAAGCUACAGGACCCAAACUCUACCACUAAGAUAUUAUUAACCUCAAAAUGUAGUUUAUAGAAGGAAUUUGCAAAUAGAAUAUCCAGUUCGUACUUAUAUGCAUCUUCAACAAAGAUUCUCUGUGACUUGUUGGAUUUGGUUCCUGAACAGCCCAUUUCUGUAUUUGAGGUUAGGAGGGCAUAAUGAGGCAUCCUAAAAGACAAUCUGAUAUAAACUGUAUGCUAGAUGUAUGCUGGUAGGGGAGAAAGCAUUCUGUAAAGACAUGAUUUAAGACUUCAGCUCUGUCAACCAGAAACCUUGUAAAUACUUCCUGUCUUGGUGCAGCCCCGCCCCUUUGAUCACACGAUGUUGUCUUGUGCUUGUCAGACACUGUCAGAGCUGCUGUUCGUCCCUCUGCAGAUCUCACCUGUCCCCACUGCACACCCACCUCCUGCCUCUUGCAGACCUCAGCAUCUAGCUUUAGUUGGAAACAGUUCAGGGUUCAGGUGACUUCUUAAAAAAAAAAAAAAACCCUACCUCCUCAGAAUGAGGUAAUGAAUAGUUAUUUAUUUAAAGUAUGAAGAGUCAGGAGCGCUCGAACAUGAAGGUGAUUUAAGAUGGUUCCUUUCGUGUGUAUUGUAGCUGAGCACUUGUUUUUGUCCUAAAGGGCAUUAUACAUUUAAGCAGUGAUUCUGUUUAAAGAUGUUUUUCUUUAAAGGUGUAGCUCAGAGUAUCUGUUGUUGGAAUUGGUGCCAGAGUCUGCUUAAUAGAUUUCAGAAUCCUAAGCUUAAGUCAGUCGCAUGAAGUUAAGUAGUUAUGGUAACACUUUGCUAGCCAUGAUAUAAUUCUACUUUUUAGGAGUAGGUUUGGCAAAACUGUAUGCCUUCAAAGUGAGUUGGCCACAGCUUUGUCACAUGCACAGAUACUCAUCUGAAGAGACUGCCCAGCUAAGAGGGCGGAAGGAUACCCUUUUUUCCUACGAUUCGCUUCUUUGUCCACGUUGGCAUUGUUAGUACUAGUUUAUCAGCACCUUGACCAGCAGAUGUCAACCAAUAAGCUAUUUUUAAAACCAUAGCCAGAGAUGGAGAGGUCACUGUGAGUAGAAACAGCAGGACGCUUACAGGAGUGAAAUGGUGUAGGGAGGCUCUAGAAAAAUAUCUUGACAAUUUGCCAAAUGAUCUUACUGUGCCUUCAUGAUGCAAUAAAAAAGCUAACAUUUUAGCAGAAAUCAGUGAUUUACGAAGAGAGUGGCCAGUCUGGUUUAACUCAGCUGGGAUAAUAUUUUUAGAGUGCAAUUUAGACUGCGAAGAUAAAUGCACUAAAGAGUUUAUAGCCAAUUCACAUUUGAAAAAUAAGAAAAUGGUAAAUUUUCAGUGAAAUAUUUUUUUAAAGCACAUAAUCCCUAGUGUAGCCAGAAAUAUUUACCACAUAGAGCAGCUAGGCUGAGAUACAGUCCAGUGACAUUUCUAGAGAAACCUUUUCUACUCCCACGGGCUCCUCAAAGCAUGGAAAUUUUAUACAAAAUGUUUGACAUUUUAAGAUACUGCUGUAGUUUAGUUUUGAAAUAGUAUGUGCUGAGCAGCAAUCAUGUACUAACUCAGAGAGAGAAAACAACAACAAAUUGUGCAUCUGAUUUGUUUUCAGAGAAAUGCUGCCAACUUAGAUACUGAGUUCUCAGAGCUUCAAGUGUAAACUUGCCUCCCAAGUCCUGUUUGCAAAUGAAGUUGGCUAGUGCUACUGACUGCUCCAGCACAUGAUGGAAGGCAGGGGGCUGUCUCUGAAGUGUCUUCUAUAAAGGGACAAUAGAAUAGUGAGAGACCUGGUCAGUGUGUGUCAGCUGGACACUCCAUGCUAUGGGACUUGCAUCUUCUGUCCUCACCAUCCCCAAGACAUUGUGCUUUCCUCAGUUGUCCUCUAGCUGUUUCACUCAGACACCAAGAUGAAUUACUGAUGCCAGAAGGGGCCAAAAUGGCCAGUGUGUUUUGGGGGUUGUAUCAGUUGACUGGACAAUAACUUUAAUAGUUUCAGAUCAUUUAUUUUUACUUCCAUUUUGACAGACAUUUAAAUGGAAAUUUAGUCCUAACUUUUGUCAUUUGAAAGGAAAAAUUAACAGUUCCUAUAAGAUACUUUUGAGGUGGAAUCUGACAUCCUAAUUUUUUUUCUUUUCAGUGGGUUUGCAGCGAGGGUCUUGUAUGCACUAGGCAAGGGUUCUACCACUAAGCCACAUUUCCCAGGAAAUAAAAUGUUAACAGUUAAAACAUACACACAAAUACACAAACACCUUAUUACCACUUUAGUAAAGUGAGAGAUGUGCGUCCUUUGUCUCAGUCUCCACGAUUUCAGCUGCCCCUUGUAUGAAUAACUCAGUCUCGCUAAACUGUUUACUUUUAUUUACCUGGUUUGACUAGUUGCAGCUAUAUAACCAGUUGUGCAUGAGGACAACAGCCAGUGUGUUUGUUUUGUUUUUGGUUUUUUGUGGUACAUUUUUUGUAAAGAAUUCUGUAGAUUGAAGUGCUCUUUGAAAACAGAACUGAGAUAUAUUUAUUCUUGUUAGCAUCAAAAAACAUUUUGUGCAAAUGAUUUGCUUUUCCUGGCAGGCUGAGUACCAUAUCCAGCGCCCACAAUUGCGGGUUCCCAUCUACCAUGUCCACAGGGGAGACAGACGGGAAGCACAUGAGGGGUGUGUUUACAGAGUUGUAGGAGUUAUGUAGUUCUCUUGUUGCCUUGGAAAUCACUGUUGUUUUAAGACUGUUGAACCCGUGUGUUUGGCUGGGCUGUGAGUUACAUGAAGAAACUGCAAACUAGCAUAUGCAGACAAAGCUCACAGACUAGGCGUAAAUGGAGGAAAAUGGACCAAAAUAAGGCAGGGUGACACAUAAACCUUGGGCUUCGGAGAAAACUAAGGGUGGAGAUGAACUAUAAUCACCUGAAUACAAUGUAAGAGUGCAAUAAGUGUGCUUAUUCUAAGCUGUGAACUUCUUUUAAAUCAUUCCUUUCUAAUACAUUUAUGUAUGUUCCAUUGCUGACUAAAACCAGCUAUGAGAACAUAUGCCUUUUUAUUCAUGUUAACUACCAGUUUAAGUGGCUAACCUUAAUGUCUUAUUUAUCUUCAUUUUGUAUUAGUUUACAUACCAGGUAUGUGUGUGUGCUGUACUCUUCUUCCCUUUAUUUGAAAACACUUUUCACUGGGUCAUCUCCUUGGCCAUUCCACAACACAACUUUGGUUUGGCUUUCAAUGUCACCUUAUUUGAUGGCCUGUGUCCCAGUAGCAGAAUUUAUGGUAUUCCCAUUGCUGGCUGCUCUUCCGACCCUUUGCUUCUACAGCACUUGUCUCUCCUAAGAUAGUCAGAAACUAACUGAUCAGGGGAUGGACUUCACCAUUCAUCGUGUCUCUUCAAUUCUAUUAAAUAGACCACUCUUGGGCUUUAGACCAGGAAAAAGGAGACAGCUCUAGCCAUCUACCAAGCCUCACCCUAAAAGGUCACCCGUACUUCUUGGUCUGAGGACAAGUCUCCACUCCAGUAAGGGAGAGGGGAGGAAAUGCUUCCUGUUUGAAAUGCAGUGAAUUCCUAUGGCUCCUGUUUCACCACCCGCACCUAUGGCAACCCAUAUACAUUCCUCUUGUCUGUAACUGCCAAAGGUUGGGUUUAUGUCACUUCAGUUCCACUCAAGCAUUGAAAAGGUUCUCAUGGAGUCUGGGGUGUGCCCAGUGAAAAGAUGGGGACUUUUUCAUUAUCCACAGACCUCUCUAUACCUGCUUUGCAAAAAUUAUAAUGGAGUAACUAUUUUUAAAGCUUAUUUUUCAAUUCAUAAGAAAAAGACAUUUAUUUUCAAUCAAAUGGAUGAUGUCUCUUAUCCCUUAUCCCUCAAUGUUUGCUUGAAUUUUGUUUGUUCCCUAUACCUACUCCCUAAUUCUUUAGUUCCUUCCUGCUCAGGUCCCUUCAUUUGUACUUUGGAGUUUUUCUCAUGUAAAUUUGUAUAAUGGAAAAUAUUGUUCAGUUUGGAUAGAAAGCAUGGAGAAAUAAAUAAAAAAAGAUAGCUG
rnacentral:lncRNA from 1 species